rnacentral:lncRNA from 1 species
CUUGAAUAUCGUAGAGAAAAUCCCGCUUUGUUUGUAACCACAACCCUCGCCAGGCUCACACCUGUUCCACUAACCACGACUCCGAUAUAGGAGUCUUCAUCACCCGCCGCCUCCGUAUGCCCACUAGACGAGUCGUGACCGCCACUGCUCGUCUGCUCCACCACCAUCAGUCUCUGUUCCACCGCGACAUUGCCUUCGUUCUGUCUCCCGUCAAGUCAUUUCCGUUACUCUUCACCACCAACCAUCUACUGGUGCUUAUGUCCGCCAUAUUCGGGAUCAUAUUGGCCCAUCCGCAUUUCAGCCCAUGCAUCUCCAUGCGGGGACUAUCACCACUUUCUGCGCCUGCGAAAACUGAUUGCAAUACUUGCCUGCUCUCUCAGUUGAGACUUUGAGGUGAUAAUUCGUUUUAUUGAAUUCAUUGCUUUUUAUUGAAUUGAAUUCAUUUCCAUGGGGGAGCAUUAC